UUGUGAAAUAUUAGUUAAUUUGUUGUUUUCAGAUCAGCUGCUGUUUCAAUAGAAGACCAAUUGAAAUCAGAUCAGAGAGACGAGCAAAGAAGAGAGUGAGUAUUUGUACGGUGACGACAGACAAGAGGGCACUUAUGUCAAGCUUGAUGAGGAUUUAAAAGCUUUGAAUGACCCUGUGAUGAAAACAUUUCCAUAGACCACAGUGUCUGAAUUGCAUGCCCCCAGUACUCAAAGAAAAGUGAGCCUCCACUUGAAGAUGAAGAUGGUGACAUUUCAAAUUUUUCGUUUCUUUGUUUAGUUCAGCCAUUUGCAGGUUUGAGUUUGUAAAAAAUGCA